AACAGUACAACACACAGGAAACUAUUUGCAAAAGAAUCAGAACAGGAGGGGAAAACAACAACAACGAAAUACCAAGAUGCAGGUUCUCCGAGGCCCGCCCUCACCAUUCAGCAAAAAGCCAACACCGAGAUGGCCCUGAUCAGGAAUUUCCAAAUGCAACUUUCUGGUGGCAGCUUCAGAAUGAAAUUCACCUUGUGAAGGGGUUCAAGUAAGGUUCUGUCUACCAGUGAUUAGUACUCAGGCUUAAGCAGGAGAAACCCUAAUCACUGAGAUAUGGGGUAUUCUGGAACCAGUGUCUCUUCUGUUUGGAGGCUAGGGACAGUUGUCAAAAGGAUAGGAGUUUGACACCUCAUAAAUGAUUAGAAAUUUGGCAAGACAAUGGAAGAAAUAAUGCCUCAUAAAGAUAUGGAUCGUUUCUGUAUGACCAACGCGUACUGAUGCUAACUCACGGUAGCUAACACAGAAUGGAUAAAAAACUGUUUCACUAAAAAAGGAUUUCAGUCAUUUGUCAGUUUCCCUAAAAUCUGUGUAAGCUCUCUUAACCCCAUGCCCUGUUUUUUUUUCAUAUUAACCUUUUAAAUGUUUAGGAUCGUUUAAUUUUUUUUAAAAUGUAUGCAAUUAAAAACAGAAUGUUUAGCAAAAGGAUAUGGAGAAGCUGUCAAUUUUAGGUUUUUUUUAAAAAAAAAAAAAAGCUCGGGAGCGGAGGAUGUAGAGGGGGUGGACAUGUCUCAUCGGGGAACGGUAGUAGUUAACGGCUCCCAGUGUCUGAUGCUACAGCUAUUAUUUCUGUCCUUCAUACAGUUACAAAGCUAUGGCUUUUCUUUUGAAAUGUGGUUAUUUUUAAAACCCUUCUCAAAAUUUGUAUAUUUCUUCCCAAUUUACAAACAAUGAGCCGAUUUAGAAUCCUACAUCUUAGCUCUGUAAAUAGCCUUUAGAAAGUUUUUAUUUGGUUGUGGGGUUUUUUUGCAUGCUGAGCAAUUCAUUUAGGCAAAACUUUAAAAACAAGCUAAUGCUUUUUUUUUUUUUUUUUUUUUUAAAAAGCUUAGGAUAGUAUCUCUUUGAAACAUUGUACUGUAAUUUUUAUUUCACUAGACCUCUUCCUCUUUGGUUAAGAUAAACCUGAAAAUGUUUAUGCACAUGUGUAAAGUUAUUCACAUGCACGUCCUCAGGAUCAGGGCCUAUCUGAGACACACAAUACACAAACUAAAGGAACAAUCUCAAAGUGGAGCAUUUUUCAAAUCACCUGUACACAAGACAAACAUUGUGAAGCUGCAUUGACAAUAAUCCAUAAUACAUGAAAAGUGGGCAACUUUUUUUACUUAUCCUUUUCUAAUCAAUGCUAACAUGAAAAGUUUAUACUAUGGUAUUUCCCAGUUGCUGAACUUGAAGUUAUCCUUAACCUAUGUAAUAAAACAGGUCAGCAGUCUUUGGCACAUGGCCUAUCAGGGUAAUCCACUGGUGGGCCACGAGACAUUUUGUUUACUUUGACCAUUGCAGGCACAGCCACCUUGCAGCUCCCAUUGUCAAUACACAAAUGAUAUUUUUAGUACAUAUAUUGCAAAGCUUAUUUCAUCACUGCAAGUCACCAAAGGAAAAAUGUUGAGCAGUGAAGAAGCAGACAUUUCAUCAGUAAAACAAAUGUACACUCCUGAAUUACUAUAUUAACCUGGCCGUGAAGUCACAAAUAGUCCCCUUAGACACUCCUGCCACUCUCUACCACCCAGACAAACUGGACUUUAUGAUGAAAAGGUUGUUAAAACCAAAUUUCAUCACACAUUAGGUCUUUCAGCCCCAAGGGGUCAGUUACUCACCCAGGUCAAUGGAUUCUCAGGAUCUUCCCCAAAAACAAUGCUGUAGCCAAUCCUUUAGUAAACUCUAACUAAAGAAUUAUAAGAUAAGAAAGAAUAUAGAGUUAUUGCAAGGUUAAAGCAGAUGAACUGUAUUACACCUGAAUUAGAGUUUGUAGUUCAAAUGAUAGCAGAGAUUAAAUAAUCUGCCAGUUUUGGAGUCUUUUCAUAAAUCUCUUCGGGCUUCCCAAAAGGUUUUUUAGGUAUCUCAGUCUUGUAUGUGGAACACCCCUUGACCGUGUUCAGAUGGAUCAGAGAUAAAAGAAUCGCUCUGUGCCUUCUUAUAGAAGAAAACAGUCUAGCGCUUGUCUCUAGUCCAGCAUAGGUUCUUGUGUGUAUUCCUGAAGCCAGCUAAGACAAUAGGAUGUACAGAAACAACCUCCCUAUUGCCUCUCCAGCAUCAUAGUUAAUAUUAACUAUAUAGUCCAGAAUUUUCAAGCUUGGGGGCAAAAAGUUGAUUAAAACGUCCUCCACAGGAGGUGAUUAAAAGAAGCUGAACGUUUUCUUUCAUUUUUGUUUUAAAAUAUCCAUGAUCCCAGGUCCAUUUUCCUGAUCCAUUAGACUAGAUUGCUGUGACUGCAGGACACAGCACAUUUUAUCAAAGUGGCCAAGGGAAGAAUUUGAGAUAUUCCCAGAGAAUAUCUAAUUUAACACACUUUGAUUGGGAGCCCUGGUGGGAGGCAGAAGAGGAAGCCAUAUGGAUCACUAGCAGCAUAAAU